CAGUAGCCACGGUAAUACGAAGGGUGCAAGCGUUAAUCGGAAUUACUGGGCGUAAAGCGUGCGUAGGCGGUCUGUUAAGUCUGCCGUGAAAUCCCCGGGCUCAACCUGGGAAUGGCAGUGGAUACUGGCAAGCUAGAGUGUGUCAGAGGAUGGUGGAAUUCCCGGUGUAGCGGUGAAAUGCGUAGAGAUCGGGAGGAACAUCAGUGGCGAAGGCGGCCAUCUGGGACAACACUGACGCUGAGGCACGAAAGCGUGGGGAGCAAACAGGAUUAGAGACCCCGGUAGUCCCUGUCUCUUAUAA
rnacentral:rRNA from 1 species